rnacentral:rRNA from 1 species
GAUGAACGCUGGCGGCGUGCCUAAUACAUGCAAGUCGAGCGAACAGACGAGGAGCUUGCUCCUCUGACGUUAGCGGCGGACGGGUGAGUAACACGUGGAUAACCUACCUAUAAGACUGGGAUAACUUCGGGAAACCGGAGCUAAUACCGGAUAAUAUAUUGAACCGCAUGGUUCAAUAGUGAAAGACGGUUUUGCUGUCACUUAUAGAUGGAUCCGCGCCGCAUUAGCUAGUUGGUAAGGUAACGGCUUACCAAGGCAACGAUGCGUAGCCGACCUGAGAGGGUUAUCCGCCACCCUGGAACUGAGGCACGGGCCAGACUCCUAAGGGAGGCAGCAGUAGGGAAUCUUCCGCAAUUGGCGAAAGCUUGACGGAGCAACGCCGCGUGAGUGAUGAAGGUCUUCGGAUCGUAAAACUCUGUUAUUAGGGAAGAACAAAUGUGUAAGUAACUAUGCACGUCUUGACGGUACCUAAUCAGAAAGCCACGGCUAACUACGUG